rnacentral:rRNA from 1 species
GACGGAGGGGGCAAGCGUUGUCCGGAUUGACUGGGCGUAAAGGGCGCGUAGGCGGAUAGUACAGUCAGGCGUGAAAUUCCUGGGCUCAACCUGGGGGCUGCGUUUGAUACGUAUUGUCUGGAGUUCGGAAGAGGGUCGUGGAAUUCCCAGUGUAGAGGUGAAAUUCGUAGAUAUUGGGAAGAACACCGGUGGCGAAGGCGGCGACCUGGUCCGAUACUGACGCUGAGGCGCGAAAGCGUGGGGAGCAAACAGG